UAGUCCACGCCGUAAACGAUGAGUGCUAGGUGUCAGGACGUCAAGUUUUGGUGCCGCAGCUAACGCGUUAAGCACUCCGCCUGGGGAGUACGGUCGCAAGAUUAAAACUCAAAGGAAUUGACGGGGACCCGCACAAGCGGUGGAGCAUGUGGUUUAAUUCGAGGCAACGCGAAGAACCUUACCAGCCCUUGACAUCCCGGUCGGGAGUAGCAGAGAUGCUUCUCUUCGGUUAGGCCGGACCGGUGACAGGUGCUGCAUGGUUGUCGUCAGCUCGUGUCGUGAGAUGUUGGGUUAAGUCCCGCAACGAGCGCAACCCUCGUCCUUAGUUACCAGCAGUUCGGCUGGGUACUCUAAGGAAACUGCCGGUGAUAAACCGGAGGAAGGUGGGGAUGACGUCAAAUCAUCAUGGCCCUUACGGGCUGGGCUACACACGUGCUACAAUGGUAGUGACAAUGCGCUGCAAACCCGCGAGGGGGAGCAAAUCGCCAAAAACUAUCUCAGUUCGGAUUGCAGG
rnacentral:rRNA from 1 species